ensembl:lncRNA
GGAGAAUGCUCAAAGGAAGAGGUUCAUCCCAAGAGGAAGAUGGCAGAGCUGGAACUGCCAGGUCUGGCUGGGAAGCUCCUUUGUGAGUCGAAUACAUUCUCUGACUUUGUGGGAGAGUUGGGGGAGUAGAAGUGCUUUGGAAUUAGGCUUGCUAUCAGCUCUCUGCCUUGUAUAAGCACCUAUUUGACGUAAUUCAGUUAUAUAAAUCAGAAAGAGAAAGAUUUCAACGCAGCUUUGCACAAGGAUUUUGCACAAAUAAAAUCCAGGCUUGUUUCGUACCAAGGCUGAAGGUCACAAAAAGUAAAAAGGAGAAGCAUCUAUGAAGGCAGCUUCAGAAAAAAUGAAGAUCUCCACUAUGAGCUGGGAAGUCAAGGAGGAAAAAGCUAGCCAGAAUGAUUUUGUGUUUACUGAUAAACCUCCCUCCCUUCUUCUGAGUGAGGAGAAAGUAGGUUGAGAUGCUCACCUCCAAUUAAGAGUCACUUGAGUCUAUAAUUCCUUUUCUCGCUGUACAGAAAAGACCGUAAACAUCUGCCUCAUGCUGACAGUAGAACAUAGGCUGUGAAGGAGCAUUGCUGCAUGCCAAAGUGCUUGGUGCCAGUGCCUCAGCAGUAUCCUGAUGACACAGUGGGCAAGGUCACAGCCUGCAUCUGCAGAUACUGGUGAUGAAAACCAUGACCAUCACUUUUUUAUGUUUGCCUUGUCCUUCUGGAUUGUAAGCAAUUCGGGAAAGCAUCAAACCAUUGUUACAGGUUUCUGCAGCCUGGACUAAUGAUGUUCUUGACUCAGCACAGACAGCAAGGUCAGCACUGCCCACCUCCUUCCCCUGAAGGUGUAAAGGGUAUAUGAGAGCCUACAUAACAUGUUUCUGCUCCUCUUGUUCAGAUGAGGCUUCUAAAUUUGUCCUUUUUAUUCAUAAACAACGCGCUCUGUCUCUUCCACUCAUGUGCCAUCAGGGAAAAGUAGAAGUGUUUCUUUUUUGCUGCAAUGAAGUCACUUGAAAAUAAAAGACCAUUAGCCAGUGUCAACCUAAAGAGGUGAAUGCUGUCAACAUAUUGGUUACUGUUUCCUCUACAGACACCUUUUUUUUUGUGUGUGUGUGGGAGUCUUUCAAGUGAAUGUAAUAACCUGUCUUCUUUGUCUUCUUGACUGCAGAUUCUAUGAACACAGAGUUAUUGUCUCAGGUCAUGAAAGAGUAGGACAACAACAAGGACUCAGAUUGAUACUUUUUUUUUUGUUAUAGUGUUCUGUUGCCUGUCAUAAAAGUGCAACACUGCCCUUUUUUUUUUCUUUUUCUUUUCCUUGUCAGUAAUUCUACAAUGCUUACUGGGAGCUUAGAGGUGAAAACAUUUAGAGGCUUUUAUUACAAUUUUAAUUUGUGAAUAUUAAGAUUACUCUUUUGCUUUUAAAAAUACUUUUAAUCCUUUGUGAGUAAACAUCAGAAGUUGAUAUGCAUUGCUCUGGACAAGUGAAUGCUUUCUGGGUUGCUUUCUGUGAUGCCAGGAAGUUAAAGCGAGGCACCAACUAAGAAACCAGUCCUUCUACAGUUCCAAAGAAGGCACAUCAUUUUCCUUCUCAUUCAGCGUGAGCAGCCUCACAGCUGACACUAGGCUGCAUCCCUUCAUUCAUAGUCACUUAUGCUAUUUCAUUCCAGGAAAAGAUGAAAGUGACAUAUAUAAUUUAGCUCACCUGAUGCAUCCUGUCUUAACAUCCUGACUUCAGUUGCUCUGAUAGGAACAAAUUUAAACCAUUCCGGCUGUCCUUUUACGUUAUAUUCUUUCUGUCUUCUUUCUCUGGUCAAAAAACACCAACCUUGGUGUAAGGUUUCACUCCAGCACAGGUAUCUAAAGUUUGCCAAAAGCAGCCCUAGUGUUAGGAAUCAGUUUUGCUGUUAAACAAAUCCGAAUUAUGAAUUUCUGCAAUAAAGGCAGUUAGCACAGGCAUAACAGCCAUGCUAAACUUGGACAGACGUAUCCACUGUGUUCUUUGUCAGUAGAUCAAAAAGGCUUUUUCAUAGAAUCAUAAUGGUUGGAAAAGACAACUGAGAUCAUCUGUUCCAACCAUUAAUUGAUCACAGCCCAUCCUGUGUCCUCAGUGACCGAAGGCAAUCUAGGUGGUAUUGGAGAGGAAAGGUUGCCAUUCAGACCAGUUUCCAGAGGGCAAGAACCAAAGAUGAAAGAAUGGCAGAAAGAAAGGAAAUAGUAGCCAGAGGAAAACUGUAUUAUUUUACUCACUGUAAUUUCUGCAGGACUCAGUGCAGAGGGAGGGUGUUGUAUGGAUGGCUUAUCAGGGAGGUGUAGUAAAGCAGGAUGUUUUCUGCAGAGUCGUCACUCCUAUUUACAGAAGUUGGCAGGCAAUUAUGGCUGUUAGGUGUGGAAAACUCAAUACUGCCUUGAAGCGAUGGGUUUUGUACCUUACAAAGCUGUAACGCCUCACUUAAUUGAUUAUGAAUUGUGUGGUCCUCAUUUUUGGAUAUGCAGUGUAAGACUCUCGAAGUGUUUUAAGAAAUUUGCUUUAGAACCUCGAUAAACUCCAAAUCACUUUCGUCUU